GCCUGUGUGGCUCAAUUGGUUAGAGCAUGUGGCUCUUAUCUUAAACUAAGAUAGACCACAAGGCUGUGGGUUCGAGUCCCACCACAGGCU
rnacentral:tRNA from 1 species